AGGGUCAGUAGUGUUUUCAUGUCACCUAUCCAUCCUCCAUUUAGUCACCCAAAGCAUGUAGUAAAUACUGCUCACUUUUAUUCACCUUCUCUUAAAUCCAGAAAAAUUCCCACUUGUUAACGUUGAGUGUGUGUGUGUGUGUGUGUGUGUGUGUGUGUGUGUGUGUGUGUGUGUGUGUGUGUGUGUGUGUGUGUGUGUGUGUGUGUGUGUGUGCCAGUUGCAGCCUCCAAGUUGAACACCAUCACCAAAUCCAACCUGGGUCAGUGUGUCAGCAAGUACGACCUGCUGGUCUGGUUUGAGAUCAGCGAGCUGGAGCCCACUGGAGAGUACAUCCCAGCCAUCGUGGAUCACAGUGGAGGCCUGCCCUGUCAUGGUACCUACCUGCUGCACCAGGGGAUCCAGCGGAGGAUCACAGUGACCCUCAUCCACGAGAAAGGCAGCGAGCUCCAUUGGAAAGAUGUUCGUGAGCUGGUUGUAGGAAGGAGUUUGUGGAGGCCUAUGUGAAUCAUGCCUUCAACACAUCAGUGGAGAAUCUGUUCCAGGAGUUCAAGCGAGGCUUCUUCCUGGUGUGUGAGCAGGAUUUGGUGAGGCUGUUUCGACCAGAGGAGCUGCAGGGAGUGCUGGUCGGCCAGGACGUGCAUGACUGGGAAAAGUUCAAACAGAACACAAGUUAUGGUUGGAGAUAUCAUGACCGCCACCCCACCAUACAGAUGUUUUGGGAGGUAUUUGAUGAACUAACUGAAGAGCAGAGGAAAGAUUUCCUUCUCCAGGUGCUGCC